CUGCAGCCAAUUAAGCCGACUGAGUUCCUUUCCUCAUGGGGGCCCAGUGUGCAAUGGCUGCAAACAGCAGCUUCCCUGGUAGCGAUGCAGCCUGUUUGUUGUAUGGGUUGCUCUAAAGGACCUUGGAGACAGUC
ensembl:snoRNA SNORA70 Small nucleolar RNA SNORA70